CCUAUGGAUUUCAGUACCAAAACUGAUUUUCUACCGUUUUUCUUCCAAGAAAGUUCUGAACAGCUGAAUCCUGGAUCAGCCUAGAUGUUAUUUCACUGGAUUAUUUAAUGAAUAUUACUCUACUGAGUUACCUGGUUACAUGGAUCAGCUGAGAUGUUAUUUCACUGGAUUAUUUAAUUGGGCAUAUAAUUGGAUAAUUCUGUCCUCAACCUGGAAGAUAUGUUUUAUUCCCAACCAUCUAUAAUCCAUUCUCUAUGAAGUUCAGCCUGUCUGCCCAAAUUCCUUUGGAAAUACAUAGUUAGUCAACCAACAUAGAAACAAUCAAACUUGAAGUCCUCAACAUGGAAGAAUUGGUUUGUUCUUAACCAUCUAUAAUCCAUUCUCUAUGAAGUGAAGCCUGGCUGCUGGUCUUCCUUUGGAAAUACACAGUUUGUCAAUCAACAUAGAAACACACAAACUUGAAGGAUUCUCUUGUGAGGGCUUAUGGAAAUGAUCUAUGUCUACUCUUAGAAUGGUGAAAGACUUUCAGAUUAUGCAAAGACUAACAGAAUAUCCUCUCUUGGAACACUGAAACAAGAAAACCAAACUUAAGAAGAUGGAGGAUUUAAGAAGAACAUAGAUAAAUAUGAUUUCCAACCAAUUUAACCAAUACGGUCAUAGACUGUGGUUUACAGGAUGACAAAGAAAGGACUCAGGAUUGUAUCUUUCACUGUCAGACACUGACUAUGGAUAAAGUGUAAUCAUUUAUCAGACUGAGAUCUAGUCAAAUCAAGUAUUGAAAAUAUGAUUUUCUGAUAGCAUGAGCUCUUUAAAAACUAAUUCUCACAGACCUCAAAGUAUCUGAAAGUG